GAGGGGAGGGAGUGGUACAGCAUCAGAGCUCCCUGAAGUCUCUGCUCUCAGCGUGGCUUGGCCUGACCCCCAUGCCAGCUGUGCCCAAGCCAUCCAUGCCAGGCCGCAGUGGGCACCCCUCUGGGCAGUGUGGGGCGGGUGUCAGCAGCAGCUGUGGAGCCUGGCACCCUCUACCACCUCUCUAGCUGGUUUCCUGAUAGCCCCCACAUACACACUCAGGGCACUGCUCAAGCUUCGGCAGCACCAAGCAGGAUGUUGGGGCAAAGGCAAGGGGUAGUAGAAAGAGAGCAUCUGGGUUUCAGAAUGUCUGGGUCCCUGAGAGCUGGGUGUCCCCCCACUCCGUAAGGGCAGCCUGGGCGGUGCCUGGCCUAGAACUGAGAAGGUGGGGUCAGAUCAAAGCCUCCUUCCCCAGCGGCCUCUUUGUUCUUCGCUUUUAUAAGGAGGAGGGGGUGGGGCCGAGGAGGGAGGGCCCCCUUUGCUCUCAGCCCCACUCUGUCUCUAUCACCUCUGGCAGGCAAAGCUAUGACGCCUCCCCCCCGCAAGACUAACCAGUGACCAGUGACCAGUGACCUGGGGGGAGCCAAAGAAGGGGUGCCCCUUCCCCCGGUGCUAUGCUCUACUCGCCCCGGUGCCCCACAGCUUCCCCUGGCACGGUGCCGGCCCGCCUGGCACCCAGCCAACGAUCGAUAGGUGGAUGUUGUGCUGAUUAGCUCGGCGGGGCUGCGGCGGCAAGAGGCGGCAUGUGAACAUGCGCGUGGAGGGGGCGGCGGGCGGAGGGUGCUAGAGGUCCAGAGACUGAUGACCAGGCCGAAAUGCUGGAGGUUUUCGAACCCCUGCCCCACCCCUUUGCACACCUGGCUCACACCCCGUCCUUCUGGGUUGUUUCCAUCGCUCAGGCUGAGGCCUGGGGCGGAGGACAGCACCCAGGACGAAGCCUACAUGAGUUGACCCGCCCCCUGAUUCAAGGCCACUUUCUGUAGGUGCAUGUGCUUGCGUAUUCGUGUCAGGGCCCUCCCCGCAAAACACGAUUCUUAGGGGGGGCGAGAGGCCAGAGAGAAGAGGGUGAAGUCUGAGCUGAGGCCUGAGCUAUGGGCUCGGUCUUCGGUCCUGUGUUCGAGUUCAGUCUCUACUGCCAACCAGAAGGUGUCUAUCCGUCGCCGUGGAAACCGACUGUACUGCUACCUCCGCCCCUCUCCAGUGAAGCCAGAGGCGACGCAGGCCGGGGAUGACUGGUUCGACCAGCACUAAGGACUGCGGGCUUCUCAUCCUGCUCCCAGCGGCCGCAGACACCCUCCCUUCGCGGACCAAGCCCGGCGCGCUCGCUCCCGAGCCCGUAGCCGGCGCGCGGAUCUCGCCGCUGAUAACGCAUGUGCGAAAGAGACGCGGGGCCAAACCGGCUUUCCCCACACUCAAGACACACGCCCUCUCUCUCAGGCAGACGCGCACACUUGACACAGACACAGGCAGGCCCUCGCCGGCUCCUAGCUCCCUGCAGCCCGGGCCUUGUGUGGACAACUGAUUCAGUUGCGGGGCGCGUCUCCAAGGAAAGCGAGGGCCAAGUCCGCUCAUGGGGCCUAGACAGGUCGAAGACUCUGGGCGGUCUUCCGGGACUGGGCCCUACCCAUGAGAAGUCCUCGAGGCGUGUUCCCGGGCGUGGUUCCAGGAGGAUCGGCAGACCUGCAGGUUUUGAGGCGUCACCGAUCUCCCCUAAACUCAGCGGCGCUAGAUGGCCGAGGGUGGGGCCCUCAAUUUGCUGGGCUUGCCCUAGUCUCACCAGAAUGAUGCAAAAACCCCUCAUCUUCGCAUCAAGCUAUGUCGCUGUUCCGAGAACGGGAGAGCCCCAGUCUCCGACCUCGAUCCUGCUCCCCACUUUCUGGGGUUACAAGUCUUUCACCAGAGGCUAAACCCUAAAGUUUUGGUCUUUUUUAUGUAACCCCACCGUUUUUUCUUCUUCCUUUUCAGUAAUUCCUUCCUUUCCUUAUUCAUUCGGCAAGUUGUGAGCUCCCAGCGCGUUCUUCUUUCAGUCGGCCACACCAGCUGGGGUCGUCGGGGGAUCCCCAGCGGUGACGCAGUUGGAGAGGGGCACGCUGACUUCCAAAUAACCAAUAGAAUCCUUGCGCCUGGGGCAUGAGGUCAUCAGCGGUGAUGCCCAUUGGUUCAGGCCUGGACGUGGAGGGGGUCCCCAUAGCAACCGACGGUGCGUCCGAGCGUAACCUGGAGAGUGGUCUUUGCUUGUGCUUCAAUGGCAGCUUGGGUGGUGCUUGGGUUGGGGGCGGGGAGGCGAGAGCGGAGCCCUGUUUCCCAGGUCGUGCAGUUGUAGCCCAACCAAGCUCUUAUUUUUCUUGAGAUCCUUUUACUCACUCAGCCGAGGAAGUUAGGAGGGAAGUAUUGGCAAAAGCGUGGGGGUCCUGG
ensembl:lncRNA